CCAAUCUAGAGUAUNGGAGAGGAAAGUGGAAUUCCUAGUGUAGCGGUGAAAUGCGUAGAUAUUAGGAAGAACACCAGUGGCGAAGGCGACUUUCUGGACGAAAACUGACGCUGAGGCGCGAAAGCCAGGGGAGCGAACGGGAUUAGAUACCCCGGUAGUCCUGGCCGUAAACGAUGGGUACUAGGUGUAGGAGGUAUCGACCCCUUCUGUGCCGGAGUUAACGCAAUAAGUACCCCGCCUGGGGAGUACGACCGCAAGGUUGAAACUCAAAGGAAUUGACGGGGGCCCGCACAAGCGGUGGAGUAUGUGGUUUAAUUCGACGCAACGCGAAGAACCUUACCAGGUCUUGACAUUGAUGGACAGAACCAGAGAUGGUUCCUCUUCUUCGGAAGCCAGAAAACAGGUGGUGCACGGUUGUCGUCAGCUCGUGUCGUGAGAUGUUGGGCUAAGUCCCGCAACGAGCGCAACCCCUAUCUUAUGUUGCCAGCACUUUGGGUGGGGACUCAUGAGAGACUGCCGCAGACAAUGCGGAGGAAGGCGGGGAUGACGUCAAAUCAUCAUGCCCCUUAUGACCUGGGCUACACACGUACUACAAUGGGAGUUAAUAGACGGAAGCGAGAUCGCGAGAUGGAGUAAACCCGAGAAACACUCUCUCAGUUCGGAUCGUAGGCUGCAACUCGCCUACGUGAAGUCGGAAUCGCUAGUAAUCGCAGGUCAGCAUACUGCGGUGAAUACGUUCCCGGGCCUUGUACACACCGCCCGUCACACCACGAAAGUCGGAAGUGCCCAAAGCCGGUGGGGUAACCUUCGGGAGCCAGCC
rnacentral:rRNA from 1 species